GAUGAACGCUAGCGGCAGGCUUAAUACAUGCAAGUCGAGGGGCAGCAUGACUGUAGCAAUACAGUUGAUGGCGACCGGCAAACGGGUGCGGAACACGUACAGAACCUUCCUUCGAGCGGGGAAUAGCCCAGAGAAAUUUGGAUUAAUACCCCAUAGUACAUUAGAGUGGCAUCACUUUGAUGUUAAAGAUUUAUCACUUGAAGAUGGCUGUGCGGCUGAUUAGGUAGUUGGCGGGGUAACGGCCCACCAAGCCUGCGAUCAGUAACUGGUGUGAGAGCACGACCAGUCACACGGGCACUGAGACACGGGCCCGACUCCUACGGGAGGCAGCAGUAAGGAAUAUUGGUCAAUGGACGAAAGUCUGAACCAGCCAUGCCGCGUGGAGGAUGAAGGUCCUCUGGAUUGUAAACUUCUUUUAUAUGGGACGAAAAAAGGCUUUUCUAAGUCGUCUGACGGUACCAUAUGAAUAAGCACCGGCUAACUCCGUGCC
rnacentral:rRNA from 1 species